rnacentral:rRNA from 1 species
CACCAGCGCCACAAGUGGGAGUCGCUAUUAUUGGGCCUAAAGCGUCCGUAGCCUGUUUGUUAAAUCUCUUGUGAAAUCGCCGGGCUAAACUCGGCGGCGUGCAGGAGACACUGGCAAGCUAGGAACCGGGAGGGGUCAGGAGUAUUCUGGGGGGAGCGGUAAAAUGCAAUAAUCCUCAGAGGACUACCUGUGGCGAAGGCGCCUGACCAGAACGGAUUCGACGGUGAGGGACGAAAGCUAGGGGA